UGGUUUUAAUUCGACGCAACGCGAAGAACCUUACCUGGGCUUGACAUCCCAUGACCACUCCAGAGAUGGAGCUUUCCCUUCGGGGACAUGGUGACAGGUGCUGCAUGGCUGUCGUCAGCUCGUGUCGUGAGAUGUUGGGUUAAGUCCCGCAACGAGCGCAACCCUUGUUCUUAGUUGCCAGCGGAUCAUGCCGGGCACUCUAGGAAGACUGCCGGUGAUAAGCCGGAGGAAGGUGGGGAUGACGUCAAGUCCUCAUGGCCUUUAUGUCCAGGGCUACACACGUCCUACAAUGGCGUCUACAAUGAGCAGCGAACCCGCGAGGGUAAGCCAAUCUCAAAAAGGGCGUCUCAGUUCGGAUUGCAGUCUGCAACUCGACUGCAUGAAGUCGGAAUCGCUAGUAAUCGCGCAACAGCGUGGCGCGGUGAAUACGUUCCCGGGCCUUGUACACACCGCCCGUCACACCAUGGGAGUUGACAUCGGCAGAAGACGUUGCGCCAACCCGCGUAAUUUAUUACCGGGAGGCAGGCGUCCAAGCUGCUGUUGAUGACUGGGGUGAAGUCGUAACAAGGUA
rnacentral:rRNA from 1 species